CGGUUAUUCAAAACAGCCUGGCAGACACAGAUUUAAUAUUGCUUCACCAGGGCUUGAUGGGAGUGAACUUUGGAUCUUUCUGGCUGAACAGAAGAAAGGCAAUAGUCCAGGAGAAGAAACAGCAGCUUUACAACAGCAACUAAACAGCUUGUCCCAGCAGCCAUGGUAAUUUGUUUGAGAGGAGGAAGAAGAGGAGGAAGACUACUGAGUUUUCAACCAGAAAGACUUGCCUACUGCUAUCUAAUUUUUUUUGUAUAACCAAGGCAGUUAACUUGUAAACUGUUACCUGCAGAUCAUUUUGUGGCCAAGAGCUUGUGGGGGAUAAUGCGUAUCUGCAAUCAACGCACAUGCAAGGAAGGAAAAUCAGACUGUACCCAGCAGAAAGAUUCUCCCAUAAUUACCCAACUUUUUCUGGUGAAGCGCCUGGGAUGUGUACCGUCACACAGCAUUUUGCAAGCGGUUUGAUUUGCUCACUGCGUUUCCUGUCCUCUUCUGAGGAAUCCAGGGAGCUCCCGGGCUGGAAAUGUGUGGCAACGAAGCGGACAGACCUCAUCUGGGGAGUGCUGGACUGUAUGGCAGAAGGGAUGAAGUGACCUCUCUGAUCCUUUCCAAAUCUGUAUCUUAGGACUGUGAUAAGAGACUGAAAUGUAAACCUUAUGCUAGCGUGUAAUGCACACUUUGAGCACAAAUGGAAACCGUGAGGGAGGGAAAAAAAAGUUUUAGUGUACUUUUCACACUGGAAAUGACUUAACCUCCUAUAUUUUCUUCCUCUUUUUUCUUUUUUUUUUUCCCAGCAUACUCAUCUUACUACUCCCAGCAUACUACUCCCAGUAACUCAUUAACAAAGUUUCAGUGAAUUCGAAGCAAAGGCAAAGAGGAACAGUUUGCUCUCUUGCAGCAGUUAUUGAAUGUGCCCCCCAGUUACUUUUUUUCCCACAUUUCCUUUGAACUAACAAAGAGCUGUAAAUAAACACCCUUACAAGCCAAACAACAGACACCAAAUAUUUUGAGAAUGAAACUCAUCAGAAAGGCCCAUUCCCUGGGCAAAGCGCUCAAUCAGUUUAAUUUUUUUUUUCUUACUGAAAAUGUGGGUGGUUUUCAAAUACAGGAAAGAAAACAUGAUGGCUUGUGGUGAUACUUUCCACCAGAAAGAUGCAGCUUUAAGGGCUUUUGGUUUCCAAAUACCUACACCCACAGGAGUGGCCUCGUCUGUUGUAGAAGGCCAUGCCUGAUUAGUUGUACGAGUCAAAUUAAAUGGCAAUAAUAGCA
rnacentral:lncRNA from 1 species